AGUGAACGCUGGCGGUAGGCCUAACACAUGCAAGUCGAACGGCAGCACAGGAGAGCUUGCUCUCUGGGUGGCGAGUGGCGGACGGGUGAGGAAUACAUCGGAAUCUACUUUUUCGUGGGGGAUAACGUAGGGAAACUUACGCUAAUACCGCAUACGACCUACGGGUGAAAGCAGGGGACCUUCGGGCCUUGCGCGAUUGAAUGAGCCGAUGUCGGAUUAGCUAGUUGGCGGGGUAAAGGCCCACCAAGGCGACGCUCCGUAGCUGGUCUGAGAGGAUGAUCAGCCAGACUUGAACUGAGACACGGUCCAGACUCCUACGGGAGGCAGCAGUGGGGAAUAUUGGACAAUGGGCGCAAGCCUGAUCCCGCCAUACCGCGUGGGUGAAGAAGGCCUUCGGGUUGUAAAGCCCUUUUGUUGGGAAAGAAAUCCAGCCGGCUAAUACCUGGUUGGGAUGACGGUACCAAAAGAAUAAGCACCGGCUAACUUCGUGCCAGCCGCCGCCGUAA
rnacentral:rRNA from 1 species